rnacentral:rRNA from 1 species
CCUACGGGUGGCAGCAGUAGGGAAUAUUGCACAAUGGGCGAAACCCUGAAGCAGCAACGCCGCGUGGAUGAUGAAGGUUUUCGGAUUGUAAACUCCUUUUGUUAGAGAAGAUAAUGACGGUAUCUAACGAAUAAGCACUGGCCAACUCCGUGCCAGCAGCCGCGGUAAUACGGAGGGUGCAAGCGUUACGCGGAAUCACUGGGCGUAAAGAGCACGUAGGCGGGAUGGCAAGUCAGAUGUGAAAUCCUAUGGCUUAACCAUAAAACUGCAUUUGAUACUGUUAGUCUUGAGUAUGGGAGAGGUAGGUGGAAUUCGUGGUGUAGGGGUAAAAUGCGUAGAGAUCAAGAGGAAUACUGAUUGCGAAGGCGACCUGCUAGAACAUAACUGACGCUGAUGCGCGAAAGCGUGGGGAGCAAACAGGAUUAGAUACCCGAGUAGUC